CCCUUAGAUGUUCUGGGCAGCACGCGCGCUACAAUGGUCUUCGCAAACGGAUGCAUUCUCGAAGGAGAAUGCCAAUCUUGGAAUCUAUGCCUUGGUCGGGACAGUUGCUUGCAAUUUUUCGACUCGAACCAGGAAUUCCUUGUAAUCGUGAUUCAUCACAUCACGAUGAAUACGUCCCUGCCCUUUGUACACACCGCCCGUCGCUCCUACCGAUCGAAGAGUUAGGUGAAUUGUUUUGAUCGAUAAGAUUUGACUAUGGUCAACGCUCGUUGUGAAAUUCUGUGAAUCUGACUGUUUAGAGGAAGGAAAAGUCGUAACA
rnacentral:rRNA from 1 species